rnacentral:rRNA from 1 species
UACAGAGGGUGCAAGCGUUAAUCGGAAUUACUGGGCGUAAAGCGUGCGUAGACGGUUAUGUAAGUCAGAUGUGAAAGCCCCGGGCUCAACCUGGGAAUUGCAUUUGAGACUGCAUAGCUAGGGUGCGGAAGAGGGAAGCGGAAUUUCCGGUGUAGCGGUGAAAUGCGUAGAUAUCGGAAGGAACACCAGUGGCGAAAGCGGCUUCCUGGUCCAACACCCGACGUUCAGGCACGAAAGCGUGGGGAGCAAACAGG